GACGAACGCCUUUGGCGUGCUUAACACAUGCAAGUCGAACGGAAAGGCCCUGCUUUUGUGGGGUGCUCGAGUGGCGAACGGGUGAGUAACACGUGAGUAACCUGCCCUUGACUUUGGGAUAACUUCAGGAAACUGGGGCUAAUACCGGAUAGGAGCUCCUGCUGCAUGGUGGGGGUUGGAAAGUUUCGGCGGUUGGGGAUGGACUCGCGGCUUAUCAGCUUGUUGGUGGGGUAGUGGCUUACCAAGGCUUUGACGGGUAGCCGGCCUGAGAGGGUGACCGGCCACAUUGGGACUGAGAUACGGCCCAGACUCCUACGGGAGGCAGCAGUGGGGAAUAUUGCACAAUGGGCGGAAGCCUGAUGCAGCAACGCCGCGUGCGGGAUGACGGCCUUCGGGUUGUAAACCGCUUUCGCCUGUGACGAAGCGUGAGUGACGGUAAUGGGUAAAGAAGCACCGGCUAACUACGUGCCAGCAGCCGCGGUGAUACGUAGGGUGCGAGCGUUGUCCGGAUUUAUUGGGCGUAAAGGGCUCGUAGGUGGUUGAUCGCGUCGGAAGUGUAAUCUUGGGGCUUAACCCUGAGCGUGCUUUCGAUACGGGUUGACUUGAGGAAGGUAGGGGAGAAUGGAAUUCCUGGUGGAGCGGUGGAAUGCGCAGAUAUCAGGAGGAACACCAGUGGCGAAGGCGGUUCUCUGGGCCUUUCCUGACGCUGAGGAGCGAAAGCGUGGGGAGCGAACAGGCUUAGAUACCCUGGUAGUCCACGCUGUAAACGGUGGGUACUAGGUGUGGGGUCCAUUCCACGGGUUCCGUGCCGUAGCUAACGCUUUAAGUACCCCGCCUGGGGAGUACGGCCGCAAGGCUAAAACUCAAAGGAAUUGACGGGGCCCCGCACAAGCGGCGGAGCAUGCGGAUUAAUUCGAUGCAACGCGUAGAACCUUACCUGGGUUUGACAUGGAUCGGGAGUGCUCAGAGAUGGGUGUGCCUCUUUUGGGGUCGGUUCACAGGUGGUGCAUGGCUGUCGUCAGCUCGUGUCGUGAGAUGUUGGGUUAAGUCCCGCAACGAGCGCAACCCUUGUUCACUGUUGCCAGCACGUUAUGGUGGGGACUCAGUGGAGACCGCCGGGGUCAACUCGGAGGAAGGUGGGGAUGACGUCAAGUCAUCAUGCCCCUUAUGUCCAGGGCUUCACGCAUGCUACAAUGGCUGGUACAGAGAGUGGCGAGCCUGUGAGGGUGAGCGAAUCUCGGAAAGCCGGUCUCAGUUCGGAUUGGGGUCUGCAACUCGACCUCAUGAAGUCGGAGUCGCUAGUAAUCGCAGAUCAGCAACGCUGCGGUGAAUACGUUCCCGGGGCUUGUACACACCGCCCGUCAAGUCAUGAAAGUUGGUAACACCCGAAGCCGGUGGCCUAACCGUUGUGGGGGAGCCGUCGAAGGUGGGACUGGUGAUUAGGACUAA
rnacentral:rRNA from 1 species